CAUCAAUUGCUAUUGGAUCUGCUGAAGGAUUUAAUCUUGCAGAGAAAGCAAUUUUAUCAGCUUCAAAGACUGGAAGAUGGGUCUUAUUGAAGAAUGUCCAUUUGGCUGCCCAGUGGUUAGUAUCACUAGAGAAGAAGCUCCAUUCUCUCUCACCUCAUGCCAACUUCCAUCUCUUCCUAACAAUGGAGAUCAAUCCUAAGAUCCCUGUUCAUUGUUUGUGAACCUCACAGAUCCUAACGUUUGAGCCUCUGCCUGGAAUCAAGGCCAACCUGAUCUGAACCUUUGCUACAGUACUAGUCACUGGAAUGUGUAGGUAUCCACACAAGAGAGUCCAACUUUAUUUCUUACUGGCAUGACUACACACCAUAUUACAAGAGAGGUUGAGAAUUGCCCACUUGGUUAGACGAAAAAGUACGAGUUUAACAAGUCUGAUUUGAGGAUGGGGUGUGAUACUCUGGACACCUGGUUGGAUACUGUGGCCCAAGGGAGGACUAACCUACCACCUGAUAAGAUACCCUGGAGUACCUUCCGUACUCUUCUCUCUCAGUGUAUUUAUGGUGGACGUAUUGAUAAUGAUUUUGAUCAGGUAAAUGCUUAUCUUGUGCUUAUGUUGUGUAGCAAGUUUGAACUGAUUCCAAUUAAAACUGG